rnacentral:rRNA from 1 species
GCCGAGUUUAAGCAUAUAAUUAAGCGGAAGAAAAGAAAAUAACUAUGAUUCCUUUAGUAACGGCGAGUGAACAAGGACCAGCUCAAACGGUUAAUCCUUCGUUUGGUGCAAACCUUUCGACGGAAUUGUCGUUGAAUUAUUCCAUGAAUGCCUUUAAUUUGAGCAAAGUGAGCAGGAAUGCUUCCCCAUAGAGGGUGAAAGGCCCAUAGUUCUUUUUAAUUUAUUCAUUGGAAUUUUUCAUGCCGAGUCGUGUUCUUUGAGAUUGGAGCACUAAUACGUGUGAUACAUUUCACAUAAAGCUAAAUAUGUGUAGGAGACCGAUAGCAAACAAGUACCGUGAGGGAAAGAUGAAAUAGUACUCAGGAAUGAGCAAUUAAAUAGUACCUGAAAUCGUUAAGAUGGAACGGAUUAAGAGAGAAAACAAGUAAAGAGGGGAAUUUUUAAUUUUUUUUGUUUUAAUUCUCUUCUUUAUUAAAAGAAACAUCAGUGAUUAAUUUAAUUUCAAUAAAGCAAUCCCCUGAAAUUCAAAAUUUCUUUUAAUUUUGUUUUCACUUUCUCCCCGCACUAAUGUGGGGAAAACUGGCUUUAUUUCUUCAAUUAUUUUUUUUGCUGAGGAAUUUUAAAAUUAUUUGAAUUUUUCUUCUUAUAAUUUAAGUUGUUUCUAUAUAGUACUUUCUUAACCCACUCGUCUUGAAACACGGACCAAGGAGUCCAGCAAAUGUACAAGUGUAUAUGAUUUUUUAAACAUUUCUCUUUUUAAUAUACGCAUAAUUAAUGUAAUAUGUUUCUUUAUUGUAGAUUUGUGUGGUGUUUAAUUUUUAUUAAAUCCCCACUUUGCAUACAAUACCGGUAAGCAAUUAUGCUUUAUUGAGUACGAGCAUAUUUGGUAGGACCCGAGAGGCUUUGAACUAAGCGUGAUGAGAUUGAAGUCAGACGAAAGUCUGAUGGAGGAUCGAGUUGAUACUGACGUGCAAAUCGUUCAUUUCAAUCACGUUUAGGGGCGAAAGACUAAUCGAAAAGCCUAUUAGCUGGUUAUUUUCGAAAGAUCUCUCAGGAUCGCUGGAGUUGAUUAAUAUAAUUUUACCAGGUAGAGAUAAUGAUUAGAGGAAUCAGGGAAAUCGUUUUCCUUGACCUAUUCUCAAACUCCCAAUAGGUAAAAAGGGGGAAAUAACUCAACUUGUAUUUCACUCAUAUUAAAUAAAAUAACUCCAAGUGGGCCAUUUUUGGUAAGCAGAACUGGCGAUGAGGGAUGCUCCUAACGCUUGGAUAAGGUGCCUAAAUAUUCGCUCAUGAGAUCCCAUAAAAGGUGUUGGUUCAUAAUGACAGUAGGACGGUGGUCAUGGAAGUCGAAAUCCGCUAAGGAGUGUGUAACAACUCACCUACCGAAUGAACUAGCCCUGAAAAUGGAUGGCGCUAAAGCGGAUUACCGAUACCAAGCCAUAAAAAGAAGAGAAAGAAUUUAUUAUUUUUUU